rnacentral:misc_RNA from 1 species
UUGUCAUCUUCACAUUUGUAUAUCUUUGCAUUAGCAUACCCCAGCUUAAUAGUAAUGUUACGCUCCAGCUCAUUCUUGAAACGUACAGUCUGGACUCCUGAAAUUGCUUUUACAACGGUAGACUUCCCAUGUGCCACAUGACCAAUAGUACCAAUAUUAAUGGUAGCUUGACGAGAUAUAACCUCUGGCGAGAGCGGAUGGAGCUUUGUCACAUCCAAUUUCUUUAAGUCUUGUUCCAUCAAACCCUUCCGAGACAUCUUG